GACGAACGCUGGCGGCGUGCUUAACACAUGCAAGUCGAACGGAAAGGCCCUGCUUUUGUGGGGUGCUCGAGUGGCGAACGGGUGAGUAACACGUGAGUAACCUGCCCUUGACUUUGGGAUAACUUCAGGAAACUGGGGCUAAUACCGGAUAGGAGCUCCUGCUGCAUGGUGGGGGUUGGAAAGUUUCGGCGGUUGGGGAUAGACUCGCGGCUUAUCAGCUUGUUGGUGGGGUAGUGGCUUACCAAGGCUUUGACGGGUAGCCGGCCUGAGAGGGUGACCGGCCACAUUGGGACUGAGAUACGGCCCAGACUCCUACGGGAGGCAGCAGUGGGGAAUAUUGCACAAUGGGCGGAAGCCUGAUGCAGCAACGCCGCGUGCGGGAUGACGGCCUUCGGGUUGUAAACCGCUUUCGCCGGUGACGAAGCGUGAGUGACGGUAAUGGGUAAAGAAGCACCGGCUAACUACGUG
rnacentral:rRNA from 1 species